AAACCAGCACCCCAAGUGGUCAGGAGGAUUAUUGGGCCUAAAGCAUCCGUAGCCUGCUCUGUAAGUUUUCGGUUAAAUCUGUACGCUCAACGUACAGGCUGCCGGGAAUACUGCAGAGCUAGGGAGUGGGAGAGGUAGACGGUACUCGGGAGGAAGUGGUAAAAUGCUUUGAUCUCUCGAUGACCACCUGUGGCGAAGGCGGUCUACCAGAACACGUCCGACGGUGAGGGAUGAAAGCUGGGGGAGCAAACCGGAUUAGAAACCCGAGUAGUCC
rnacentral:rRNA from 1 species